rnacentral:rRNA from 1 species
GACGAACGCUGGCGGCGUGCCUAAUACAUGCAAGUAGAACGCUGAAACUUGGUGCUUGCACCGAGCGGAUGAGUUGCGAACGGGUGAGUAACGCGUAGGUAACCUGCCUGGUAGCGGGGGAUAACUAUUGGAAACGAUAGCUAAUACCGCAUAAGAGUAGAUGUUGCAUGACAUUUGCUUAAAAGGUGCAAUUGCACCACUACCAGAUGGACCUGCGUUGUAUUAGCUAGUUGGUGGGGUAACGGCUCACCAAGGCGACGAUACAUAGCCGACCUGAAAGGGUGAUCGGCCACACUGGGACUGAGACACGGCCCAGACUCCUACGGGAGGCAGCAGUAGGGAAUCUUCGGCAAUGGACGGAAGUCUGACCGAGCAACGCCGCGUGAGUGAAGAAGGUUUUCGGAUCGUAAAGCUCUGUUGUAAGAGAAGAACGAGUGUGAGAGUGGAAAGUUCACACUGUGACGGUAUCUUACCAGAAAGGGACGGCUAACUACGG